rnacentral:misc_RNA from 1 species
CCACAGUUAGUUUAAAUAGAAAUGAAUUCUGAGUUAAUCAGAUAUUCAUAUUUUCUAUGCUAACAUUUUGGUAUAUUAAAAAUUUUUUCAGCCCUAAUUUAUUAAAAGAAGAAUAGGAGCAAGACAAAAUUAUGCUUCUUUUCAUAAAAUCAUAUAUAUUUUUAUAUACAAAAAAUAUGAAAUUAUUAAUUUCAUAUCAUGAAUAAUGUGUACAUCGAUAUUGAUGUAUGCACAAAUGCAUUGAAAUAGAGUAAAAUGUAUUUUAAAAUGAUAAUAUUUGAAAAUAGGCCAAACAAAGAAGAAAUAUCGUUCUUACAUAAAAUAUUAAAAAAAUAUGUAUUAGAGAACGAAGAUUCUUUUUCAUAAUACGUAAGUAACAUGCGCAUGUGCAUUGCAAAUAUAAAUUAUAGUUAUUUUAUUAAUAAUAAUUGAUGAUAAUAAUAAUCUCAAACAAUGAAUGGAAUUGUUGUGUUAUUGGGAAAAAAAAGUCUUCAAUGAAAACUAAUUUUGCAUAAUGCAGUUAAGUGUGCUGUUUUCGUAUUAUGAUAUUUUCAAAUAUAUAGAAAAUAUCAUAUUCUCAUAUAUAUAUAAUAAAUUUUAUUAUAUAUAUGUAAAAAAGAAUUAUAUU